UAUUGUACUUUGAGUUUGAGCGCCUGCCAUUGUCACGGCAUAUUAACUCUCACGCAAAGAUGAAGAUGACAGCCAAUCAGAAAUCUGAGGGGACCGGACAUGUAAAUGAGGGGGCCUAGGCCCACCCAGGCCCCCUCGUGGCUACGCCACUGUU